rnacentral:lncRNA from 1 species
AUGAAAAUCACCCCAUUUAACUUUUUAUUGACCUUUAAGUUUAUUUCUCUGUAUUCAACAAUCUGCAAACAAUUAUUGCCCCCACAGGAGCUCACAGGUGACACAGAGAGACAGAGAGAUGUAAGUAAAUAUGAUGAGAUGUGGUGAGUUAUAGUAAAGUGCAGAUUUUUAUGAGAAGUGUAGGAGGGACAAUCAGGUAAAGGCACAGGGGAGUAAGGGAGGGAUCACAGAGAAGACAUUUCAACUUGAACCUUUUUAUUAGAAGAAGUAGCAUCUUUAGCAAGAGAAAGAAUAUAUGAAAAGAUCUAAAACGCAUAAAAACAGACAUAUAGAAAAAGGGAACAGAAUAGAGAACCCAGAAAUGAAUCCAUAUAUCUACAGUCAAUUGAUUUUUGACAAAGAUGCCAAGAACUAGAAAAGCUUCUGCAAAGCUCAGAGUAAAACAAUCAACAGAGUGAAAAGGUGAUCUACGUAAUAGGAGAAAAUAUUUGUAAACUAUUCAUUUAACAGGGAAUUCAUAUCCAGAAAAAAAUAGGCAAAUCAUCUGAAUGGACAUUUCUCAAAAGAAAACAUAAAAAUUGCCAACAAAUAAAUAAAAAAUGCUCAACAUCGCUAAUCACCAGGGAAACGCAAAUAAAACCCACAGUGAGCAAUUAUCUCACAGCAAUUAGGAUGGCUAUUAUCAAAAAGACAAAAAAUAGCAAAUGCUGACCAGGAACUAGAGAAAAGUGAAUUCUUAUACACUGUUGUGGAAAUAUAAAGUAGUGCAACC